GGUAACAUUCUCACACUGUGCUAGCACCAGAGAUCUGCACCUGGAGGAAAGAGAAAUCUUGACAUGGGUCUUAGCCAAGUAGAAAGCAGAUAACAUAUCUUCCAGAGGCAGUGGGCAGAGGCUGAGGGCUGAGGCCGAGAUUCAACAAUGAGACAAGGACAUAUUACCUCUACAGCAGCCACAGGCCUCUCCACAGAGCUACCAAGAAAUUUUAAAAUCAAACCUGCACUGAGGUGAAGAGAAUAAAGGUAAUUUCCUGUUGGCUGCGAAGGCGUACUGACAUCUACAGCACUUCCCAGCCGAGGUUUUCAACCUCCAAUCACCAUUUGCUUUUCAGUUUUGAAAAGGUUAGCAUUUCUGUUUCUUUAGUUAAUGACUAGACCUCUUGAGCCCCUUGUCUAGUGUCUUCAAGCACCUCGAGAACCUGCCUGCCCAAUGGCCCACAAGUCACAGAUUUUUAAAUAAGGGGGAUAACAAGCCCAUUUUCUGAACUAUGUCUCUCCAAAAUUGCCAUGUUAAAAUCCAGACUGGCAGUAUCUCAAAAUGUGACCUUGUUUGGAGACAGGGCCUUUACAGAAGUAAUCAAGUUAAAAUGACCAGCAUGAUCAGUGUCCCUCUGCGCACAGAGGGAAGACCGGGUGCAGACAUGGAGAGGAUGGCCAUCCACAGCCCUAUUCUUGCAACUUUUAUCUAAGUUUGAAAUAUUUUCAAAAUACAGUUAAAAUUUUAAAUAAAAAUAAAGAUAGAAUGAAAGAGAGUCAAGCUCCUGGGAAGCCCACUACAGAUCCCGGGGGAGCAGAGGCCUGGAAGGACCUACAGGAUCUGGGCAAGAGGGCUGGGAUUUAAAUCCAGUUUUUAAAUGACUUUAUUUUACCGUGAUUUUCCCUCCAAAUGUCUAAUGUCCUUGUAAUAUUAAAGGAUCCUGGGAUUUGAAUCUAGAAAGAAUCAUGGAUGCAGUUCCUGUCCAACAAGUGGUUGAACAAAGCCUUGCAUUGCUUCUGGUGACCCUCAUGCUUGGCUUUUCCAGUCCAGCCGGUGGAGGGGCCCCUGUGGUUUGGGGGUGUGGUCUCCUCUCUCCAUCAGCCACAAAGGCUCGCUUGAUUUAGCGGGACGGUUCCAGAUCAGGCUUCCCACCGACCCAUCCUCACCUCCGAUGAUCUGCUCCAAUGGCAUCUGUGACUCUGGUAAAACCCUGCUCCCUGGAGAAAGAAAACAAAGCAAUUUCAGCAAAUGGUAAAGGAAAGGCCUGGCUCUUACUGGAAGCCCACGCUCAACCAGGCUCCGUCUCGUCCGUAACUGCACCUGCCUCGCUCUCCCAAACGCAUGCUCGUGCCCUGUACAGUGUCUUCACCCUGGAAUCUACCCAGGUCUUCAGGCCAGGGAGGGAAUCAAUUUUAAGUACCGACAGCUCCUGACAUCAAGCCAGUGUUACUGAAUGCCACCAGAACUCCUCGGGCCUAUAAACACCAUUGCCUUGGAAGUUAAUUGAAUUCCUUGGCACUGUUUGACCUUUGUCAAAAGAGCAACAGGGUAAGUUUCCCCUGCAUUUGGGGUGUACCCCUCAAAUGCAUUUUCAAUGAAGAAUAAAGACUGAUGAAUAGCAUCCCCUUGAUUUGAGUCAUUCUGAGUUGAUACCACAUUAACUUUGCCUGGUUCAAGCCACAGGUGGCCCCACUCACUUCAAAAGGGCCUCCAGCUCCCGCUUGACUCUGCCCACCAGGGGCGGCCCCCGGUAGGUGAGGGCUGUGUACAGCUGCACCAGGGAGGCCCCCGCCCGGAUCUUCUCCAGCGCGUCCUGCCCGCUGCUGACACCGCCAACCCCGAUGAUGGGAACUCUGCCUGCAGAGAAGCACACAGCACACUGUGAGGAAGGCUGGGUGACAGGAGAGCCAGGAGCUGUUUGGCUGCAGCCCCGGCCCCCUGCUGAGUGCAGCAGUUCAGGAACCCCGAUACCAUCACAGACCCGGCGCCUGAGCCACACGUAGAUCUGAAGACAGGGACACCAAAUUCUUGCCUUGGGUGAGUGCAUACAUCUCCCUGAUGGUUUGCGUUGAUAAAUCUCGGAGGGGCUUCCCGCUCAGCCCUCCCAUUUCAGAGCGCAGGGCCCCCUGGAGGCUGGCAGGGCGACUCACUGUGGUGUUCGUGACAAUCAGUCCAUCGAUGCCCAACUGCAGUGUGAGACAGAGAAAGAGCCCCUAAGUCAGGGCACGAUGGACUUGGAGAAGCUUCCCCGGGGGUCUGAGAGAGCAGCCAGGCCGGGCGCCCACACCUAAGGCCACAGAAGCAAGAGCUAGACCAGGCCUCACUCACUAUGCUUUCUGGGCAAGUGUCAGAGUGAGCCUCAACAUGAUAGUAGCAGCCAUCAUGUACCAACCACCCGUACAGUUCCCCCAGGACACAGUUUAAUCCUUAGAACAACUCAAUCUAGAGUGUCCUGUCCAAAGCCUCCAGGUAGUAAGUGGCGGAAUCAGGAUUUCAACCCCGGACUGCCGGGCUCAGUCUGUGUUUGCGCUACUCCCCUAUGACACACAAACCCAGGGUUAGACUGGAGAAAGACAGAACACUGCAGUCUGCCCAAGACUGAAGGAUGCACAGCCUUAAAGCCCUUGCUGAAGGAAGAGGAGGGAAGAGGAGGGAAGAGGCAGGAGAAAAUGACCCAUUCAAACAUUUAUUGAAACAUUUACUUUUUAUUUCAGGCAUACCUCAUUUUAUUGCACUUCACUUUAUUGUGCUUCACAGGUACUGGUUUUUUUUUUUUACAAGUUUCUGGCAAUCCUGCACUGUCAGAUGAUGGUGAGCAUAUUUUCAGCAAUAAAGUUUUUUUUUAAUCUGGAUUAUUACACCUCAAAUGUUUUAAUAAAACAGAAAAUAAGAAUAAAGUAUUUUUAAAUUAAGGUAUGUACAUUUUUUUUAGAUGUAAUGCUAUUGUGCACUGAACAGACUACAGUAGUGUAAACGUAACUUUUAUAUGCACUGGGAAAUCAAAAAGUUCAUGUGACUUGCUUUAUUGCAGUGGUCUGGAACUGAACCCUUAAUAUCUCCAAGGUCUGCCUGUAUACGAUAAAUUACAUCCUGACAGCCCUCCAUAUAACAGAAAGGAAACCACAAAGACUGCCGUCUGGGCUAACCCAGCUGGCCAGGUGGCCUCUACAGGCAAUGAAGGGCAUCCCCCAGGCACCGACACUCACCUCUCUCACCACACUGGCAAUAUCCUCCUUGUCCUGGGCCGUGAGGUCAGGAGCGAUCUUCACCAGCACGGCUGGCUUGUGCACUACCUUCAGGGCAUCCCUCUCCUGCAGCACCUAGAGCAACAUGGGGCCAGAGAUGAGGACCCCCAAGACUGCAGUUGACAGUAUAACCGUGACCUGCAGCCGCAGAUCAGUGUGUUUUCACACUAGCUGUCAGAAUAAAGCACCAGCAAUUUCUCCUUUUCAGGAAACACCGCUCUCAAUUAUGCAAAAGACCCCAUCAAGUCAGAGCUGAUUCCACUCUCUUGAACCAAGAGAUCCCCAAGAGUUUAUUCCCAGUGGCAGCCCAUCUGUAAAUAUCACUGGUCAGGAUUUUGUCCCCACUCACCGUUUCCUGUGCAACAUUCUGAAGCCAUCCUUGACCGAAGAGCCCACGAACAGCCUCACAGGCUUUCCAACUCCAAAUGUGACCUUUCCCGCGCCAGCUGACAAACGCUGACCUACGCACGGCGCUGUUGCCUGCGGGCCAAGAACCGAGCCCUCCACCUUCAUCUGCGCAGCUGGGUUUGGGCAGCUCCUAGGAUGUUUUACCGCUUUGUGCCCUUUUUCUUUUUUAAGAUUUAAUGGAAAAUGGAGAAAUUAGGAGCGCAAAUACUAGUGUUUAAAAAGGUAGGGCUCGUAAAUGAAAUACGACUGAGAAGAGACAGAAGUCAGUAGCAUGCCACAGGGGCAGCUGUUUACCCUCAAGGGCUGCUUGUUAGACUUGGGUCACGUGACUGGGUGUGCAGUCAUGAAGAAAAAGCAAAAUUAAAGGAUAUGUAUAAAAUACUGGAAAAUAUUUUCGAUUCUCAUGCCUAAAAUGUAGAGGCAUAACGGUUUUAUAAUUUCCAUUCUCUGAGAAGGGACUCCCCCUUGUAACUAAGGUGACCACACAUCCCAGUGCUCCCAGGACAGCCCUGAAUACUCCUGUAGCCUGGGCAUAAUUAUUCAUGCCUGCAUCCCUUCCACUCUCAAAAGUGUUGUCUCAGUUUGCACAGUAAGUAAUAUGGUCACCUUACUUUAAAAUCCAGGGAAUUAUCACUUGACUUGUAUUUUCGACUUUCAGUGUGUUUCUGAAAUGUAUUUUUCUAUGUGUGAAAGCAAGGGCUUGUCUGUACUUGACUUCUCCUAAGAUACUACCUUAUCUGCAAAGGCUAAAGUAUAUCCAUGGUACCACCUGCUUUUUCCAGCUAACUGGGACGUCCAGUUAGCUCACAAAAUGUAUGUCAGGUCAGGGAGGAUCAAAGAACAACAUCCAGUACUGCUAACUACCUUCUCACACCUUAAAUGCAGUCACCUGUUUUAUCAUCAACUUGAAAGUAAAUGAAAUUCGUGUCACUCACUUCAUGAGUGGAAGGGAGGGGAGGGGUUUAGCAUCCAGUUAGACAAAUUAUAUAACAAGGUCUCCAAGCCUCCCAAAUCAAGUGAAGAUGGUUUGGAAACUGUAAUUCUUUUCCACACAGGUAAACCAGCUUAAUAGAGAAUAUCACUUUCAUGUAGCCAGUGGAUCUUUCAUUAGUAGCCAUUUGCCCCAAAUGACAAGAUUUUGGAGUUAGACAAAAAUUGCUGAAUUACUCUACCCGCAAAGGGCACCACAGCUCUUAACAACUCAUGUUGCUUGGUAUGAUGCUAGCAAUAAGCUGUCUUCAAGGCUUCCAGCUGCCGGUGAACACCAUGUGCAGAGCUCUGCUAUGGGAUUUUGUCUCCAACAAAUGUCAGCACCACAGUGGGGGGCGAGGAACGGGCAAGGGAGAACGGGAGAAAAGUGGUAUAAGGGGCACCGUGAACAGUUAAAAGAAGGAAAGGGAGACAAGAAGGCAGGAGAGUAUCACAAACCAUGAAAGUCCUAUCAUGACCUUCAAAGCCCACAAGUGGCAAGGUCUAUCUACAGUAUAGCAGGGUCUGGUUCUGCCAAAGCCAGGGAAUUCCAAACAAGGUCAUUUCCUACUCCCCAAAUCAGAGAUUGCUAACUGCCUCGGCCCUUUCAAUCUCGCGUUCAGAAAUGAAUCCAGUACCGCAGGUUUUUCUCAUCUCACCACCAGGACAUCUAAUGAGGCUAAACUCCUGGAAGGAGUUCCAGAAAGGCCCACCAAGGAAGAUGGCUGCAACCCCAUGCAACCCUAGAGGGCACCUGGGAAGGUACAGUGAGGAUGGCAUGGUGCCAAGACCACUGUGUUCACCCCAAGGGACAGCAAGGCAGAGAGCCCCAGGGAAUGAGUAUCGGCACCUCCAAGGCAGCCUUCAGAAAUGCAUGGUGUGGGCUUCCCUGGGCGCAGUGGUUAAGAAUCUGCCUGCUAAUGCAGGGGACACCGGUUCGAGCCCUGGUCCAGGAAGAUCCCACAUGCCGCAGAGCAACUAAGCCCCUGCACCACGACUACUGAGCCCGCGUGCUGUACCUACUGAAGCCCACGUGCUAGAGCCGGUGCUCCGCAACAAGAGAAGCCACUUUAAUGAGAAACCCAUGCAAUGCAACGAAGAGUAGCCCCUGCUUGCUGCAACUAGAGAAAGCCCUAGUGCAGCAACGAAGACCCAAUGCAGACAAAAAUAAAUUAAUGAAUUAAAAAAAAAUGCAUGGUGUUUCCAAAUAAGUCAUGAAGGAUAUUUUCCCCAAUGCCGGGAGUAGUUAUCUCUGAGUAGGGAAGAGUGUGAGUAAUUUUAAUGUUCUUCUUUAUGCUUCCCUGCAUUUACUAACACUUCUAUAAUUAGCAUUCAUUAUUUAUAAUGGACAAAAGGACAACAGAGCAGGAUGUACAAAGAUGGCGCCCAAGCCCUGCUCGCAUCAACUGCCUAUGUGAUCACAGAGCAGCCACUCUGCACUGCUUACUUCCAAGCUGUCCCAGUUUGACACAGGUUACAUAACGAGGCAGGAACUAAGUGUAUCUUUGCUCAGUUGCGAAAUUCAGUUAAGAGCUUGGAGGGUGUGAUGGAGCCAGGAAAAUUCCUCUAGCAGAGGAGCCCUGAGUUCCAUACUGUUUUUUCCUAUUGUUCAAUCAUGUUCACUUCACUAGGAAUGUUCCUGACUUUCUCCCACAAGUUUCCUUCCAACAACUGAAGAACAGCCCUCUUAGGCAGGCCCCCUUUACCUUCUGUGAGCCUGGCCUGCGUCUGCUGUCUGGCCCGUAACCUGUGUUCCACCACUGAGAGUCCAUGACUGUUGAAUCCGUAUCUGUAGCACAGAAGAGCGUUAGGGAGGAGAUAAGGUUAGAGCCCUCAGGCAGAAAGCAAAGACUCUGGAGGGAUGGCUCCAUGGCCAUUUUCAACAUAUAUUUAUGAUGUAAAAACCAAAGAAAAAAAUCAGAGUCAGUUCUUAGACUUCUAAAGUCUAAACACCCCUGGAAGUCCUAGAGAACUUGCCAGAACACCAUCAAAUACAAAGGGAAAGAUUAAAAUUUGCCAACAAGCCACUUAGCCAACUAGCACUAUAAACAGCCCAGACCUGUCUGGACCUAGCCCACUCCUGCUUCCCACCCAACGGGGCCCUCACCACUCUGAUGACCCAUCUUCCCACCUCCUGCCUGUGCCCCACGAACACGCUUCCUGGAACCCAUCCUGCUGCUCCAUUCCCCCAUCCUUUCUACCUAUUAAAUCUCCCUCUUCCUGGCCCAAGUCAAAUGCACCCUCUCCUCCUUGCAUAAAGCUUCCAGCCACAAAUGAUCCCUCACCUCCUGGCAUUCAUGGAGUGCUUUGUACCUAUCUUUCUCCUAGCUUGGGAUGUACGUAUAUGCUUCAGUUCCCCUACUGGGUUCCAGUCUCCUCGAGGACAAGGGACACAUCUCCUCCCUCACCUGCCACUAGACACUCCGCAAAGGCUGGGCCUCGCCCCUCUUGAUCAUCUCUACGUCCCCAGCCCCACGGUGGGUUGUUGGCCUAAUGGCCAUCCCCACUCCCUUCCUCCUUGCCUGUGGAACCCAGCUCCCCUGACAUGGGGUAAAAAUGCCAAUGACUCCUUUCCCAGCCUCGCUGGCAACUCAAGCAUGAACUUGAGAUGGGGCUUGGUCACUGAGACACAAGGUGAUGCCUACCAGGGAGCUUCUGGGAAAAUAUCUCCCCCCAUAUCCAUACUUCCUUUCCCUUUCUGCUCUCUGAUGUCCUCAUGCGAGGAUGUAUGCUUGCAGCUGGGGUAGGCAUCUUACAAACGAGAAGGGAAGGCCCACAGAGGUUGGACCAGAGUACUGACGCCACCCUGCCGCUCAACCAACCCUAAAACUGCCUACUUCACCCGUAAUGAGAAGAAAAUAAUAACAAAUGCCUAUUGUUUAAGCCACUUUGUCACUUGCAGCCAAAAACACCUAACAGAUACAUGUAGUUGUUGACUCAUGUUCAUUCAGCACCCACCCUGUGCGAGGCAGAGCAGGGAGCCUGGGCACACAAGUGCUUGGAGCUCAGGCCCGGCCCUCUUGUGCCACUUCUCACCCACGGGACUCUGCCAGGCACUGUCUUCCUGGUACCUGCAAUUAUUUGUGGCAGCCGAAUCAUCAACAAAUAUUUUUUGCCUGAAUGUUCUGAAGAUAUUGAUCCCAGCCUACAGGGGAAAGGUCAGUAACUCGAUGUCUAAUGCUGGAAAUUUUCCCCGAAACAAGCACGAUGAUGCAGGACGUGCAGCCAAAUAAACCACGUCAGUCUCCCAGGAGGCCCUUCAUGAUCCCAAAGGUGCCUACCAACGCCCCCAACGAGGCUCUCAAAACUCUGUUACCGAAAAGAAGGAACUUCUUCACUCUCUGGGUUAGCUGUAGAGAAAACUGCCCAGGGCUUACAAAGAGAAGGGCUUUACACGGUCUAGAAGGACCUCUCUUCCUAAAAGCAGCCGUCUAUGUUGAUUAUUAAAUUUCCCAGUUACUAAAGGCUGGAGCUGUGCUGUCAGGUGCAAGAGCCACUAGCCAUGUGUGGCCACUGAGAGCGAAGCCUGGCCAGUGCAAAGCAAGAGUGCCGUAAGGAAAACAUACUGGAUUUCGAAGACUUGGUACAAGUGAAAGAAGGGAAACAGCCAGUCAUUUUUAUAUUGCUUAAUAUUAAAAUUAUGAUAGAGUAUAUUAAGUAUUUCUAAUUAAGUAGUAUAAUGAAUAACUGUUACAAAUAAUAAUUAAAUAGAAUAUAUUAUUAAAGUUAAUUGCACCUGUUUCUUUUUGCUAUUUUAUUGUGGCUACUAGAAUAUUUUAAAUUACAUAUAGGGCUCAUGAUAUUUCUACUGGACAGAGCUGGGCAAGGACACUGCACAAACUCUAAAGUCAGAUAAGCCAACAUCCGUUCCCAGGUUCUCCCGCUUCUGAUCUCGUGACUGUAGCUAAGUCGUGUAGCUCUCUUAACCUCAUCGUGUAUACACGUUAAACUGAAAUCAUAAAACCUGCUUUUAUGCCCGCACAGAGUAGAUGCUCAACAUGGUUCCAGAACAUUCCAAAUGACAGAAAAAUGUCCACACUGUAUGGCAGAAAAAACACCCCAAGUGUCCUGCUGGGGAGAAGGCUGCUCACCUACCUGUUAAUGACGGCUUGGUCCUCAGGGAGGCGGAAGACCCUGGGUCUGGGGUUUCCUUCCUGAGGUUUUGGUGUAACACUGCCUAUCUCAACAAAACCAAAGCCCAUCUUGUAAAGUCCAUCCACAGCUUCCCCGUGCUUGUCAAAUCCUGCAGCGAUUCCUACUGGAUUUCGGAAUUUAUGGCCCAGGACUCUCACUUCCUAGGGAGAAGGAGACAAAGUCACAGGCACAC